rnacentral:lncRNA from 1 species
UGUAGCCAAUAGAAAUUUGAUUUCUAUCUCUAUGCUGGCACAGGACAACUAUAAUUUUCAUUUCAAUAAAGAUACGUAUUCAAUUUAUUUCAAAAAUAAAAUUAUUGUACGUGCUUUCUUGAUUGACGAUCUUUAUCAUUUGCAUACAGAUGUGAGUGUAAAUAUUAACAAGCAAAUAGUGAAUGCCAUAGGGUAUAAGAGAUUUAGAGAUAAGAUUAGCCAAAAGUAUCUAUGGUAUCUUAAGCUAGGCC